rfam:Desulfatibacillum alkenivorans AK-01, complete genome.
UUGUGCUAGGUCCUUUCCGGGCUGAAUUCCUCCCUGAGGUUUCCUUGUCCUGGAUUAACGGAACACUCGGACCGGCCGCCGCGCAACAGACGGCCAUGAACCUCGUCAGGUCCGGAAGGAAGCAGCGAUAAGUGGUUUAGUCUGUGUCGUGGAUCGAUCCCGGUCAUGUAGUGUUUUUAGUUGUUCAGGAACAGACUCCAAAGGGAGGUGCACAA